rnacentral:rRNA from 1 species
UACGUAGGGCGCAAGCGUUGUCCGGAAUUAUUGGGCGUAAAGAGCUCGUAGGCGGCCUGUUACGUCUGCUGUGAAAUCCCGGGGCUUAACCCCGGGCGUGCAGUGGAUACGGGCAGGCUGGAGGCAGGCAGGGGAGAACGGAAUUCCCGGUGUCAGCGGUGAAAUGCGCAGAUAUCGGGAGGAACACCGGUGGCGAAGGCGGUUCUCUGGGCCUGUACUGACGCUGAGGAGCAAAGCGUGGGGGAGCGAACAGG